AACGAACGCUGGCGGCAUGCCUAACACAUGCAAGUCGAACGAAACCUUCGGGUCUAGUGGCGCACGGGUGCGUAACGCGUGGGAACCUGCCCUUAGGUUCGGAAUAACUCCCCGAAAGGGGUGCUAAUACCGGAUAAUGUCUUCGGACCAAAGAUUUAUCGCCUUUGGAUGGGCCCGCGUUGGAUUAGCUAGUUGGUAGGGUAAAAGCCUACCAAGGCGACGAUCCAUAGCUGGUCUGAGAGGAUGAUCAGCCACACUGGGACUGAGACACGGCCCAGACUCCUACGGGAGGCAGCAGUGGGGAAUAUUGGACAACGGGCGAAAGGCUGAUCCAGCAAGGCCGCGUGAGUGAUGAAGGCCUUAGGGUUGUAAAGCGCUUUUACCCGGGAUGAUAAUGACAGUACCGGGAGAAUAAGCUCCGGCUAACUCCGUG
rnacentral:rRNA from 1 species